rnacentral:misc_RNA from 1 species
AGCAGUCGCGGUAAUUCCAGCUCCAAUAGCGUAUAUUAAAGUUGUUGCAGUUAAAAGCUCGUAGUUGAACUUCGGGGUUCACCCAUUGGUCAGGCUUAAUUGUCUGUACUGGUGAGAUGAAUCUCUACCUUCUGAGGAACUUUCAUGCCAUUUAUUUGGUGUGAUGGGAAAUCAGGACUGUUACUUUGAAAAAUUGAGUGUUUAAAGCAGGCUAACGUCUGAAUACAUUAGCAUGGAAUAAUGAAAUAGGACGGAUUGAUUCUAUUUCGUGGUUUCUAGGGUCA